UCAUUUUGACACAAGUCAUUUUGUUUAACCGACGCAGAGCUGGGGAAGUGUCAAAAAUUCCACUUUCUGCAUAUUUAUCUUACAAUAUAUCCGACCUACACCAGGAUGCGAAUGUUGCACUUUUAGUUCUUGAAAAGAAACUUUGUCAGCAUUUCCGAAGAAUGGAAAUAAGAAGUAAAAGGGGAAGAAAAGUACCUGUACUUUUAACUCCAGCAAUGCAACAGGCAUUGGAUCUGCUUGUCAGCAAACAGCAGGAAUGUGGGAUUCUUCCAGACAACACAUACCUAUUUGCAAGACCAGCCAGUCGGAUUUGCUACCGUGGGUCUGAUAGUCUUCGAUACUUUGCCAAGGUAAGUGGUGCAAAAAGCCCCGGAAAUCUUACUUCAACAAAACUGCGAAAACAAACAGGAACCUUGUCCCAGGUCCUUAAACUCACUAACACAGAGUUGGACCAGUUGGCAGAUUUCCUGGGACAUAAGAGUCCACAGACAGUUUUACAGAAUUCCUGAGGGCACACUCCAACUUGCUAAAAUCAGCAAGAUUCAUAUGGCUCUGGAGCAGGGGCGUCUUUCAGAGUUCAAGGGCAAGUCCCUGGAUGACAUUGAUCCAGAAGAGAAGGUGCACCUAGACAGCGACCAGGACAGAGAUCCCGGGGCCCCAUGUGACACUUGAGUCAGACUAUGAGUCAGAUUCACCAGAGCAACCAGUCACAACUGAGAGUGAGACAGCAGGGCCAGAUGUGAACCAGAU